rnacentral:rRNA from 1 species
AUGAAAAUUAUCACAAAAGUACUGGCCAAUCGUCUACAGAAACUCGUCCUCAAGAUUAUUCAUAAAAAUCAAUACGGAUUCAUCAGGACCCGAACGAUCCAAGAUUGUUUGGUGUGGGCAUUUGGAUACAUAUAUCAAUGCCAGUCUUCCAAGAAACCCAUCAUCCUCCUGAAGCUAGACUUUGCGAAGGCGUUCGAUACAAUUGAACACUCAUCCAUGAUUGAGAUAAUGAGGCAUAUGGGUUUUUGUGAUUGAUGCCUGAAUUGGAUUAAAAUGAUCUUCAUCUCGGGGACGUCAUCGGUCCUCCUUAAAGGGGUUCCCGGCCGACAAUUUUUAUGCAAGUGUGGUGUUCGCCAGGGGGAUCCUCUCUCCCCGCUCAUAUUCGUCCUCGCGGCGGACCUCUUG